AUAACAGAUUGAUUAUUUAUUACAAAACAGGUGCCAGACAUUACAAAUGUAACUUCUUAGGGUGAUGAAAUACAACUUUUGUCUGAAGCAGCCGCACGCGCACAGAGUGAAGCGGGAAGCUUGUCUGGAGUCUCUCUCGAGCUGCAUUUCAAACAGUAAAGAAGCAACGGCUUUUAUUUCAUUUGGCUUUUUGUUCUCUUUAACUACACUGAAUUUACCUCAGUUGUUGGUUAUUUAUUAUAUUAUUAUUCUAGAAACUGGAAGCGAGCGCUGACGAGACCAAGGAUGAAAAAGGAUGAAAAAGGAUUCGAGUCACUCGAGCGGUGCCGCUGCAGCCCAAAGCUAAGGUGGACAGCUGAGAUUGAACAAGACCUGAUUCCCUUUGUUUCUCAUUGAAACAGACGGCUGUUAGUAACUGAUAUAUUAUACUGCGUUUUACAUGACAGAGCUGACAAAGCCGAAGAAGACGGGAAAUUGUCAGGUGUUCUGCUCUCCGCCCAGCUGCAAUGUGAUUGGUCAGGAUUUUGAGUUGCCAAUGGAGAUCAAGGCUAGCACCGCCCUGGCCCUUUCCAGAGGAUGGAGUCUGGAGAAGGAGCUACAGGAGGCCAUUCGGAGUACAGGAGAGAGGCCACGCCCCCAGAGUAAACAAAUCAUCUCUCUCGUCUCCCCUCUGCCUAGGUGGCUAAGACUCAGUCCAUCGAUAACAUACUGGAUGUACCUAUCAGCAG